CGCGCGCUUAGGUGCCCCCUCGGAACUCCGAGGUUGAUCGCGAGGGGAGCGGUUCUCAGACCCCCUCACCGCUCAGGCGACACUCGGGCUGGGACAGCAUUCAAAGAGAUUCAAAGCAAGCAUGAGAGGAAAUAUGGAGGGAGCCACAUGGCAAGGAAUUGCAGAUGGCCUCUGGAAGCUGAGAGCAGUCCGCCAGCCAACAGCCAGCCAAUGAACAGAGAUCUCAGUCCUACAAGUGCAAAGAUCUGAAUUCCAUCAACAACUCGGAUGAGUGUGGAGGCAAAUUCUUCCCCAGAGUCUCCAGAAAGGAAUGCAGCUUGACCAGCACCUGGACUUCGGUCUGACAAAACCCUGAAUGGAGAACCCAAUCAUGCCGCACUUGGACUUAUGAACUACAGAACUAGAAGGAAGAAUGAAGCACUAAAGGAGUCUAAAAUUCUAAAGUGAUUUUGCCUUGCAUGAAAUGAAAACAAAGGCACAGCUCAAUGGAGGACAAAGACAAAUUGUUUCCAAAGCUUGGCUUCCUGGGGCCUGGGAUCUACUCAGGUUCCAUUAUCAGCACCCUGAAACUGUGGAGACACAAGAAGGACCACUUCCUUUGGGGAAUGUUCUGGAAGCCUCACAUACACUGGAAGCCAGUUAACCGUCAGGACAAUGUCAGGGAAAUUGACUGAAGCUCCUUCCAGAGGUGACUUCCUGGUUCCCAAGCUGGCCUGGAAACCCUUACAAGAGCUGCCACUCCAAUGGCUCUCUUAGCUGCCAUGCCUGAUCUCUCAUUGAAUCCAAUUAUGGGAAAAAGAUAAAAAGAGCCCGUUUGGCUCCCAGGGACCUGGGAAUUAGAACAUCUGUGACCGCCUUACAAUCCCUUGUCCACACGCCCAGACAGUUUGGGCAUUUUUCAAGUCCACAUUAGUGCCAACCACUUCUUACUCUUUUCCUGGGGAGUAAUGAGCAAGCAGGCUGUGCAAACAGGACAUAGCUGGCUGAGACUGCCAUCCUUAGAAAAGUCUGCUGGUAAGUAGGCCCUUGCCUGGUGUCUGCGAACUUCAACUUCAGGAGUGCUCCCACCAUUCCCAAAAUUUAUAAGCGUGACUGACUAUGCCUAAACUUUUUGUACAAAUAAUGGGGUUUAUGCUGACCAUGUUUCCUUCUGAGAGCCUGGAAUGUUGAUGUGUGUUAGGCAGAAGAUGCCUAUGUGACUGGCCCCCAAUAAAAAAACCUGAAUCUCUAAUGAGCACUGGGUCUUUAAUGAGCUUCCCUGGUCAACAAUAUUUUAUGUGUGUUGUCACAACUUGUUGCUGGAGGAAUUAAGUGCAUCCUGUGUGAUGCCACUAGGAGAGAACUUCUGGAAGCGUGGGUCCACUUUUCUCUGAACACCACCCCAUGUGCCUUUUCCCUUUGCUGAUUUCACUUUGUAUUCUCUGGCAAUAAUAAAUCAUAGCCAUGAGGACAGCUAUAUGCUGAAUCGCGCGAGUCCCUCAACAAGUCAUUGAAUCUGGGGCUGGUUUUGGGGACCUCCUACACAGGGCUAUCUCUGUCUAUAAAAAUAGCAUAAAGGCUUUUUUCUUCAUUCAGAUCUUCAUAGGGAGAGGUACAGAGGACAGGAUAAAUGGUUCCACUGAGAAAACAAGCACAGAGAAAAAAGGCAACAUAGUGAGGUUUCAGAGCUAAGAUGGCAGAGCUGGGACUAGAAUUCGGGUUUGUCUGUUUCCACAUCCUUCCGUUAGUGACAUUUCAACAAUCUUAUUGCUAAAGGUUGGGAAUACCUCCCUUCCUUCUCUCUACCCCUUUUUCCUUCCCCUUAACUCUGGGGAACCUGUCUGGCAGGUCUGACAGCACCUAGUGGUGAAAUGGGAAGAAGGGUGGCGUCAAUUCCACUCACCCUCCCUCCCACCCGUGGAUAACCUCUCUACCCUUGGCCCUGUGUCCCACUCCAUCCAAGCUUGGCCACUGCCUUCCUUAGCCUUCCCUCCCUGCAUCCACCACCUUCUAACAACUUUGUUUUAGAAUCUAUUGACCACUGUCUUUAUCCUCAUUUAUUUUCUGAGUGCCUCCUAUGUGCCAGAGACAAGGGUGGCACCCACAGGCCUUGGCCACAGGGAGCUGCUCCCUAACACAUUCAUUGAGGAAAUACUUAGCGUCAGGGACUGCUGAAGACACAGCAUGAACAGCCCCACGGGGGCAGGGAGAGGCAGUUCACCUAGCACACUUUCAUCCUGCUCCACCUCGUUCUCUCUUUCCUCCAGUAUGGAUCUCUAGGUCUGAAAUCCCAGAAGCAAGAUCUCUGGUCAUGCCUUCCCUCCCCCUUUCUGUGUUCCCACCUGAUUGUCAGGCAGUCACAGGCAAGAACUCUGCUAUGGUUAUAUCUGUAUCCAUCUCCCCACCCUUGAGCCCAUGUCACAGCCUGUUGUGCAAAUGCUUCACUCUGAGCAAGGGAGAUCGAGUUUUACUGAUUCUACA